UACGUAGGGUGCGAGCGUUAAUCGGAAUUACUGGGCGUAAAGUGUGCGCAGGCGGCCGCGCAAGUCGAGUGUGAAAGCCCCGGGCUUAACUUGGGAAUUGCGCUCGAAACUACGUGGCUGGAGUGUGGCAGAGGAAGGUGGAAUUCCAGGUGUAGCGGUGAAAUGCGUAGAGAUCUGGAGGAACACCGAUGGCGAAGGCAGCCUUCUGGGCCAACACUGACGCUCCAUGCACGAAAGCGUGGGGAGCAAACAGG
rnacentral:rRNA from 1 species